rnacentral:rRNA from 1 species
UUUAUUGGAGAGUUUGAUCCUGGCUCAGGACGAACGCUGGCGGCGUGCCUAAUACAUGCAAGUCGAGCGAAUCUGAGGGAGCUUGCUCCCGAAGAUUAGCGGCGGACGGGUGAGUAACACGUGGGUAACCUGCCUGUAAGAUUGGGAUAACUCCGGGAAACCGGAGCUAAUACCGGAUAAUAUUUCGAACCGCAUGGUUCGAAGUUGAAAGGUGGCUUUUGCUACCACUUACAGAUGGACCCGCGGCGCAUUAGCUAGUUGGUGAGGUAACGGCUCACCAAGGCGACGAUGCGUAGCCGACCUGAGAGGGUGAUCGGCCACACUGGGACUGAGACACGGCCCAGACUCCUACGGGAGGCAGCAGUAGGGAAUCUUCCGCAAUGGACGAAAGUCUGACGGAGCAACGCCGCGUGAGCGAAGAAGGCCUUCGGGUCGUAAAGCUCUGUUGUUAGGGAAGAACAAGU